rnacentral:tRNA from 1 species
AAGAUUUUAAGUUAAAAAAACUAUAAACCUUCAAAGUUUAAAACAUAAUCUAAUAAAUUUUUUAUAAAUCUUA